AUUAGUUUUGUCCUCUAAAUCCUGCAAUAAGAGCACAUUACCAUCAGAAAAGGUGAAGGGAAAUAUAGAGAAGCAGAGCUAGAUAAUUUUAAAUAAGAAAUAUGCAUUGAUUUCACAAAGAAUAGUUAUAAAUUAUGUGUUUCUUCUCUAUAGAACUAAGACUUCUUAGGAUUGACUGGUUAUGCUUGUCGACACUAGUAAUCUUCCGUCCAAUAGAAACUCUACACUAGUGGGGAUGACAUAACAAAGAAGUUUGAGCCAGCUGAUCUAGCGAUAAUGCAGCUUAUCUGUCAAACAGAUGACGACUACAUUAUUCUGAACCAUCUUUGUCAGCAGAAAAGGUUGGAACAUGGAUAAAUCACACACCUUGUAUUGGUCCCACAUUGAUUGCUCCUUAUAAAUAUAUAUUCUUUUCACCUGCAAAAGAUCAUCUGCUGAACAUUUCCAUAAUGUUAAAUCCUCAAAUAUCUGCAAACAGUAAGAAAACAUUGUCUCUUAUGAUAGUGUCAAUGCAAUAAAAAACUUACUGGCUGUUUGCUGAAAGAAAAAAAUCACAGUGAUGUUUGGUUAUAGCCCACGUCAAUUUGACAAUAUUAUAAUCUGUAUAAAAAUGACCAGUUAAUGUGCGGACAGAAAAAAAAUGUAUGUGGUUUGGUUAAAGCCCACAUCAGUUUGAUAUUAUUACAAUCUGUAUAAAAUUGACCAGCUAAACUGUUGUCAGAACGAAAUUACAGUGUUUUGUUUGGUUAUAGCCCACAUAAAUUUGGCAGCAUUAUAAUCUGUUGUCAUGUAUAAAGGUAACACAGAGAAACUUUGAUCACCUUAACAUACUACAAAAUCUAGUCUUUAUAUACACUCUCGGAUAUAUCAUAAGUAUAUUAUACUCUUAUGUGACAUGGCAACAAAAUAAACGUGCCCCCAUUGGAUAGUAGCACAAAACAAGUGUACAAUGGUAUGGAAGGUGAGGUAAUACUAUGUAGAAGUAUUAAUAUUAUCAUACUAGAUCCUCCGUGAUAUGUACAAAAACAUGAAUCCCAUCAUUAAUUCUGAUACAUAACAAGGUAAACUCAACCAACACCCGAAAUUAAAGCUCUGAUCAAUUGCUCAUGGGAGUUGUACUUAUUGAAGAAGGAAAAAAAUGUUUGGGCGAAAACACAAAUUGACAAUAAAAAAUCAACUGAAAGGAGGAUCAUGGGGUACCACUGUACCAGGUGCCUUCCAUGGGAGAGGAUGGACACACGGCUGCACCUCCGCUACCUCCUUCAACAUCGCGGGGUUAGGUAUAGGGCAGCUGUGUGUAACAGGGCGUUGAUCUGGUCAAUUUGUUGACUCAACAGUGAGUCGCAUCCUCCAUUGUCAGAUACUAACAUGCAUUCCCUAUGCCCUAGCUGACUUGUGUAAAAACAGAAUGUUUCAAGGCUAUAUCAGAUAGGUUGGCGAACCACAAUUUGCUUGACCAGGUGUACUGGAUCAAACUGAGCGGAAAACUAUAUCUAGUUUGGAUCUUUUUCAAAAUGUACAUAACUUGGCUUGUUCUGAUCUUACUCAUGCCUAAUUAAGAUGCAUAAACACUUCGCAAAAUGGUACAAGUAAGACAAAUACUGAGCAUCUACCGAGCUAAAGUAAGCAAAAAUCCAUGAAAAUAAUCGCACUAGCCAUUAGUGGUGGACCAAAAAAUAUGCCUUGUCAGUCUCACGAAGUCAUGUGAAGCCAGAACCUAUAAACUAAAAACCCACAUAGAUAUGUCAUUUUGCUUCGUAAGUACUAGGAGAAAGUGAUGCUAGUUUCUGGAAGCUAAAACUAUACAUCAUCAAACAAUGAACGUGCAAAUCAUGUUGGAAUUGCAACUUAAACUGGAACUCUCCCACAGAGAGUAAAAGUAGUCUACUUAAUGGCCAGUCAUUCCAACCUGCACCUGAUUAAUGUAUUCGCUCCUUCUCCCCCUAAAAAGGAACAAACGAAAUUAGUAAGUUGCAGAGUGAGAUGCAAAAUACAAAAAAAUGUCAAGCUGCAGGCCACACCACCAUCGAGAUUUACUUCAUGAGAUCUGAUGCAUCAGGAUCAGUUCUGUGAUUGAUAGAGGCGUGGGAUGUGUCAACUAAGAAGCUGCGUUGAUUGAUUUAAUUUAAAAGAAGAGAUGGGAUUCGAAGGAGCACCUUCUUGACAUGGCGGAUCCCAUCUUGCGGGACGGUGUGGUGAUGAGAGUUGGGAGGGGCGCGGCGUGGCAACGGGGAGUACGCCGACGGCCGGCGAGGCUCCGACCAGCGAGGAUGCCGACAUAGGAGAAUGGGAAGUCGCCGGCCGAGGGUGGAGUUGGCGCCGGAGGGCAGAGCCGGGCCGAGAACUGCCGCGGGGGAUAGGCUUUGGUGGCGGCGCAGAUUGGGAUUUCUGUGGGAGGUGGAAAC
rnacentral:lncRNA from 1 species